AAGUCGUAACAAGGUUUCCGUAGGUGAACCUGCGGAAGGAUCAUUGCUGAUGCCGGCGGCAGUGGAGGAUCCCCUUAAAAAAGGGUGAAGCCCUGCCGCUUCAAACACAUCAAUAUGCCCCUUUAGUGAACCUGGCAUUGGAGUUUCCGAGCGCGAGUGAGCUUUGGGGCCCGCUCGCUUUCCCCGACGUACCCUCUCUCAACAACGAGGGUGAGCUUUGGGAUAGGUCUCCUCUGCCCAAAACAACCUGUCUUCUCUUAACCUGUACCCCAGACUGAAGCAAAAAAAAAACAAAAACAU
rnacentral:misc_RNA from 1 species